ACGCAUGGGAGAGGGGAACCCUUUACUACCAUGGCAUACAAGAUGAGGCUUCUUUAAAAAAUAAGUCGACAAGGUUAAUCAUCAACACAUUAUGCUACUUCCAGAAAUUCUGAUUAAGUGGUCGGAUAGUUUGUUAGGUAUUUCUGAAAGUACUGAAAAAUGGAUUUGUCUCGGCAUAUGAGAUUGGUCAAUCUAGUGGAUCAACGAGAAGAGCAAAAUUUUUAGAUGGAAAGCUGAGCGAUUGCACGAGGUAUGAAAGACUGGGAAUACUGAGAUUCUAACACCUGUCCAGCACUAUAACAAAUCUGCUCAAAUCUGUUAAAAGCUUUUACUCCCAACACAGAUGGAGAACUCUGGUUUAUUGAAGAGGCCGGCCUCUGCUGAACCUCCUCACGGAAUGAUGUGGUUCACUGUCUCCUACUCCUCUGGAUGCCCGGGUUCUCCUUUGAUCAGAUAUGCCUUGCCGCUGCAGCCCAUUUGUCUUUUCUUGGAGGAGCCACACAAGACUCUCAUUUAUUCCCUCGCAAUCAGCUAUUGCCAUCGCACAGAGAUGUACAGCGUGUAACAGCAUUACUACACCAGAAGCAUCGUAUGCUCAGGCCCGGGCCAGACCGGGCUAGGGACUGGACUGGCAGGCUUGUCUGUGACACAGUUGAUCAGUAGAUGGUGUUUCUGACGAAAACAAAGGUGACAGCCUGCUUACUAGGCAUCAUUCUUAGUGGCUGCCCUGGCCCUGGCCCUACGUGGCUGCCUGCCAUGCUUAGUUCUUUAUGACUCAGCAUGUAGCUGCAGCUGAUUAGAUUAGGGGGUUCCUUUAGAAAAAGGUAACAUAGAACAUACAGAAAUUCAGGGGCCCAAAGAGACUGGAGUAGACACACGAAGGAGGGAGCAUAGAAAUGCCGAGAGACAGAGAGAAGAGUGGAAAGAGAAGGGUGGAAGAGCAGUACCAAGAGGAAGAGAUGAUAAGAAAUGUGGAGGGAAGGAUGACAAGAGGGAGAAAUCCCUAAUCUGCUACAGUUCCACUCAAGUUCCCGUGGGGUCACCCAGACUAGUACUCAAAGGAGAGCAGGCAGUGAUACAUGCAAAGAUUAACAUUAAUCAGAAAGGUGUAAUAGGAAAUGAUGGGACAUGAAUAGGAUUUGAGUACGAGUCUGUGCAACCUCAUGGUUCAAAUCCUGGCUCAUCAUUUACUGCCUUUGUAAUUGUGGGCAAGGUAUUUAAUCUCUCUGUACCUUAGUUUCUUCAUCUGUAAAAUGGGUAUAAGUACAGUGUCCACCUGAUAGCAGCACUGUGAAAAACAAAUGAGUUAACACAUGUGAGAGUACUUAUCAGGAUGUCUGGAACACUAUACCUGAUCUACUUUGCUCUUGGUUUCUAUCAAGAGUGCCUCAUAUGGGUUGUGAAAGCAGUCACUACCCCCACCCCCCUGACUCCAUCUGAGUUGAACACAUUUGUGAAUAUCUGCUCCUUAUGAUCAAAACAGCUUAACUGUAACACCUUUAGGGUACUUUCCAAAUUUUGAAUGCAAAAAAAGUCACGUUCUCUUUUGAACUUUAUGAAAUCAGGAUAAAAAUAGAAACCAAGUGUGUGCCUCGAGGGAACAGAAACAGGCAGAGUGAAAGAGAAGCCUUUCAAAGUGUGUACCUUGUCAAAACAAGCCUUCUCUAAUUUGGGCUAAAGGGGAGCAAGGCAGCCUGCACCUUCCCUUCCUCUAGGGUUACUUGUGGAUCCAAAUGCCACAUGAGCCAUGCUUUCGUUUAUGGAAGGCUCUCCUCACUAUUCUGGGGCUUCCCAGGCGGCUCAGUGGUAAAGAAUCUGCCUGCCAAUGCAGGAGACAGGGUUUGAUCCCUGAGUUGGGAAGAUCCCCUGGAGAAGGAAACAGC
ensembl:lncRNA